rnacentral:lncRNA from 1 species
AAUUUAUUCGGAUUAAUUGCAUUAACGGUGACGGUGUUGUGAUUUAUGCCUUAACGUAACACAUCACGGGCAAUUGAGUUGUUGGUAUACAUUGUUUGCAAACACGAAAACAAUUCUUAGCUUGGGAGCCGUAAAAUAUAAUAUAUGUGCAUUUGGGGCCUAGCCGAUGAUAUGAAGAACAUGAUUGGUGACAAUAUCAAUUUAUGCUUAUAAUUUAUGACUCUUCAACACGGACAUUUUACUUGGCAUAAAAUAUUUAAUGUAUCAAUAGACAAGGAUAAUUUAAUUCAUGCAGGGAUCAGCUUUCAAUUUUCUGAAUUGGCGCGAAAGCACGUCCAUUGU